CCCUUAGAUGUUCUGGGCCGCACGCGUGCUACACUGAGUGGAUCAGCGGGUCAGGUUGCGCGAAAGCGUUUCCUAAUCUUUAAAUCCGCUCGUGAUGGGGAUUGACGGUUGCAAUUUUCUGUCAUCAACGAGGAAUACCUUGUAAGCGCGGGUCAUCAUCCCGCGCUGAAUACGUCCCUGCCCUUUGUACACACCGCCCGUCGCUCCUACCGAUUGAGUGGUCCGGUGAGGCUUUGGGAUCUGAGCGGAAAGAGCGUUUCGCUGUUUCUGCUCGGAAAACUCAGUCGAACCUUAUCAUUUAGAGGAAGGAGAAGUCGUAACA
rnacentral:rRNA from 1 species